CGACGCCCGGAGAUUUACACGUUUAGAAAAGGCACACGGAAGAUCAGCCCAAAAAACGAAGAAUGGAUUUCAACGAGUGCAACGUACCUUGUCAGGAAGAAGCGAGAUAUCGAAGGCGUACGAAAACAUCUAACUUAUAGAUGCGGGCUCGCUGAUCGUGACGGCUUUGUUAGAAUUUUUGGAGGACGUUGGAAACGAGGGGAAGAA
rnacentral:lncRNA from 1 species